UUGGUACCUGGCCACCAGGGAAUCUGGACUGUGACUCAGUACCUCUUUGCAUUGGUGGAGGGCAGCUGUCUCCCCAGGCCCGGCCAAAUGUUUUCCCCACCAAGUGUGAGGAAUGUUGAAAAGUGGAGGUAGCAUGGAGGCAGCCCGGGGUGAUACUGAUACUUUACCCCAAUUCUGGCCUUCACUCCACCUUGUACUUCAGGGCCUUCUAACUGCCUUCCUCCUACUCUGGAUGUCGCUCUGAGGGCCUCUGUUCAUCCAUCCCUCUCAGGAAGGACAAGAAAAGGGACAGUAAAGGGCAAGAAAACGGGGGCAGCUGGCCAUUUCUGCUGUGACCUUCGUUACUGUUUAACAUGCAUUAAGAACCUGCAGUGUACUUUGAAAUCGAAAAGUACCAGGAAGCGUCUUGUAAAGUUAGCUCUGUAGUCUUUUGGGGGUACCUGGCUGUACUUCAGAGAGAAAUCAGAUAAAGCAAAGACAAGACCAUUGUCCAUGACCCCAGAUGGGAAGAAAAGAGAGAACUGGAUACCAGAAAAGAACACGUGGGUGCUUGAAAGAGAUCGCCCGGCAGACGGAAGG
rnacentral:lncRNA from 1 species